CACCUAUGUUGCUUGUGAAGCUGCGUGGCCGUGUUUAAAUUACUGGGCGGCCCCUUUGUACCCUAUAUAUAGGCAGGGGGACGACUACGUUUGGUGCGCUUCCUGUCCCCCUUCCUUUCUGCUGUGACUUCCGUGCCGGCAGCGUUCAGCGUGGAGUUUAGCGUGACUGUUUGGAUUACUUCUCAUGAGUUUAAGUCGCGGGCUCGUAUUCGAUUGCCGGCUCAGCGCUGUGGUAUGCAUCUCUGAUGUUGCCUGGGCACUUUCACUUUAGUAAGUGCUAGUGACUGUGCUGCCUUGCUGCGGGCAUUGUCUGCUGGAGCUGUUUGCUGUAGCCAUUGUCAGCUGGAGCUGCUGUGUGUCAUUACCUGCUGCUGUCUGCUGUGGCCAUUGUUUGCUGUGGCUGCUGGCAGAAAUUGAUGUUGUGCUGGAGCUGGGGGCCAAGCAUCUGACUUGGGGAUGCGGAAUUCUAUUCACCUUUCCUGUAGUGUGGAGCACGUUGGGUGUGAUUGAGAUGUGUGGCACUGACAUGUGUGGUUUGUAGUGUAGAGGAUAUUCCUAUCCCUGUACUUCCUUCUGUCGUGGUAAGCCCUUAACCCAGUUCCUUCCUAAUUUGUUGCUGGUAAUUUAAAUAAAUUAUUGCUAGUUAUUUUUUUAUAUUGAUUCUCCAAGAAGGGAAUUCCUGGUCUGCCUGGUGGAAAAGAUGUUUUAAAAUAAUUGUCAAUAAAUCUCUAUUAAAUGAUUGUACCCCGUCCCUGGCCUUUGAGUGUGUUGAACCUGGGUGUCUCUUUCUUCUCUAGGCCUUAAGUGCCAUUUUUUUUUUUUCUUAGAGGUGAAAUCACCUCUAGGUGGCGUAGUCGUGCAUUAACAAAAUUACGCCGCUACGCCACACCUGUAUGGGCCACUAAUGGCACCCAAGCUAUCGCACAUAGACCCAAUGAUUGUGAAACGAAUGGUCCCAGAUAUUCACCUCAGUUUCAAAACAUAUCUUUUUUCUGUAAUACCCACUUAUAAUGUUACCAUGUGCUU
ensembl:lncRNA